ensembl:rRNA 5S_rRNA 5S ribosomal RNA
GCCAGCAGCCAUAUCACUCUGCAACUCGCAACUGGCAACCCACUGAAGCUAAGCAGGUGUGAGCCUGGUCAGUACCUGGAUGGGAGACCUCCUGGGAAAAACUAAGGUUGCUGCUGGAA